rnacentral:rRNA from 1 species
AUGACGCUCCUCCUCCUCCUGCUGCUCCUCCUCCUCCUGGGCACGGCCGCCGCCGACACCACCUCCACUACCAGCAGCACGGCCGCCGACACCAUGUACACCACCACCAGCAGCAGCGAACCGACGAGCGACCAACAGCAGCAGCAGGCGUCGUCGCCAUCAUCAUCAUCAUCAUCAUCCUCUCCAGCAGGAGCAGGGGCGGGGUUCUACAAGGGCAUGUCCCGCGAGUUCGUGAACGAGCACAACAAGGUGCGCGCCAAGUACGACGCGCCGACGCUGGCGUGGGACAAGACGCUGGCCCUGUACGCGCGGCGGUGGGCGGCGCAGAUACAGCAGGACUGCGACCAGGCCCGGCACUCGCCGCAGGGGUACGGCGAGUGCUUCUUCGUGGGCAACAAUGGCACCGCGGAGGACGCGCUGUGCAGCUGGGAGAGGGAGGAGUACAUCUACGAGAAGGGCACCAAGCACUGCACCUCCGGCCACGACUUCCGCGACUGCGGCCACUUCGUCAUCAUGAUCGAGAAGACGUACCACUACGUCGGCUGCGGCCGCGCCCCCUGCCUCACCGGCCCCCGUCAGGGCCAGUUCUUCAUCUCCUGCAACUACAGCGCCGUUAGGCCCAACACCACCACCGCCUCCGCCUCCAACCCCACCUGA